UUUUCUUCAUUGUUUUGAAAUAUUUGUUUGAUGCAGAGAUGAGGUUCAAUUUGAUAAAAGUGGAGGAGAGGAAGAGGAAGGACCAACCAAGGCCAUCUAUCACUGUCCUCGCACCAAAAAGGGUCAAGGGUGUAGAACCUCCUCCUGCCCUAGUGCCAUCCCGAUCUUCAUCAGGAACUCCUUCUCCGGCUUCUUCGGAGAGAAGCGAAGCCUCUCAAGGACCACAAAAUUCUCUUUGGGUGCUAACAUUGGAACCUUCUCGCCAAUCUGCCGUGGUGAGGAUCAAGACCGGUGACACUCGAGCUGUGCCACC
rnacentral:lncRNA from 1 species